GUAAUUGUCUCUUUCUUUUUCCCCUUUCCAGAAACUAAACAGCUUUUCUUAAGUUCAUGCUAUAAAGCUUAAUAACAACAACCCCACUCUUUUCACCACCUUACUCCAUCUGCCGCCAUUGCCGCUAUAGUCUCUGAUCUACCCGCAAAUGUCAAACCUAGCGUUCUCCAGGUUUCGAACCCUUUCGGUACAAAAGCCAAAGACUUUCAUCUCCAAUCUGACCCUCAAGUCAGAGCCUCGAUUGAUUCUCUCGCCGGAUUCGCGGCUCAAGAUUGCACUGCUUCGCAAGCAGCAACGUCGGUGAUGUUUCCGGAGAUUUUCAAAGCUUUAAGUGCUAGAGGAAUUCAGAAACCCUUUCCUAUUCGGGUGCGCUCUUCUUUCUGGAUUGGGGUCGAUUGAAAGUUAUCUGAUUUUUAACUCAAUAUUGAUGUUUAUUGUUCGUGUAAAGAAUUGUGCUUGAGCCAGAUAUUGCUAGGACAUGAACUAGAAAGACUCUUGCUUUUGGGAUUCCUGUCAUUGACAGAAUCAAAAAGAUUUGAUAUGUGAAAAACGUGGGAAGAACCCUAUUUGUUUGGUUUUUAUGCGCUGAACAGAAGAGUGAGCAACCGUCUGGAUAAAUCAACAACAGGUGCAUAUACAUGUAUAUAGCCAUGUCCAAGAUUUGGUUAAUCUGCUCCUGUCUAUAUCACCAUUGGUGAUGGAGAAAAAUUGGAGCAUCAACACUACUACAAAGGAAGCAGAGGGAGCAGAAGCCAAAGCAAAAGCAGCUCAAGCUUACACUGAAGAAGCUUCAAAGACACUGAGAGGACGAAACAUCUGCAAAAUGGUGACAGAGGAGUAAGAAGAAUGUGUUUCAGGUGAAGAAAAAGAAUGUGUUGCAGGGCUAGAGAGAGAGAAGCCUAGAAGUAGUGUAUGUUGAUGAUUUUCUACUUGGAAACUCUUUUUAGUUGUAACCAGUAAUCUCAGAUGCUAAAACUCUUCCUAUCUGUAACAAAUAAUUCUUUAGCUGGAGAACUUUUAGCAGAUUAAAAAUGUGUUAGAUAUUGUGAAAUUGGAAAGAUAUGCGGGCAAGUUAUACUGUUA